AUUGCCUCAGUAACGGCGAGUGAAGCGGCAACAGCUCAAAUUUGAAAUCUGGCCCUAGGCCCGAGUUGUAAUUUGCAGAGGAUGCUUUUGGUGCGGUGCCUUCCAAGUUCCCUAGAACGGGACGCCAGAGAGGGUGAGAGCCCCGUACAGUUGGACACCAAGCCUUUGUAAAGCUCCUUCGACGAGUCGAGUAGUUUGGGAAUGCUGCUCAAAAUGGGAGGUAUAUUUCUUCUAAAGCUAAAUACCGGCCAGAGACCGAUAGCGCACAAGUAGAGUGAUCGAAAGAUGAAAAGCACUUUGAAAAGAGGGUUAAACAGCACGUGAAAUUGUUAAAAGGGAAGCGCUUGUGACCAGACUUGCGUCCGGUGAAUCACCCAGCUCUCGCGGCUGGGGCACUUCGCCGGCUCAGGCCAGCAUCAGCUCGCUGUCGGGGACAAAAGCUUCAGGAACGUAGCUCUCUUCGGGGAGUGUUAUAGCCUGUUGCAUAAUACCCUUCGGCGGGCUGAGGUACGCGCUCCGCAAGGAUGCUGGCAUAAUGGUCAUCAGCGACCCGUCUUGAAACACGGACCAAGGAGUCAACCUUAUGUGCGAGUGUUCGGGUGUCAAACCCCUACGCGUAAUGAAAGUGAACGCAGGUGAGAGCUUCGGCGCAUCAUCGACCGAUCCUGAUGUUCUCGGAUGGAUUUGAGUAAGAGCAUAUAGGGUUGGACCCGAAAGAAGGUGAACUAUGCGUGUAUAGGGUGAAGCCAGAGGAAACUCUGGUGGAGGCUCGCAGCGGUUCUGACGUGCAAAUCGAUCGUCAAAUAUGCGCAUGGGGGCGAAAGACUAAUCGA
rnacentral:rRNA from 1 species